UAAGGAGGAAGGAAGACUGGCUGCCUUACAGCACAGAGCAGCAAGCACCCUGGGCAGAGCAGUGCUCCAGGCAGAGACCCAGGGAGUUAAAGGCAGUUCCUGGAAGGUUGCAGGGAUUUGCAGACUGAGGCCCUGAUGCAAGGGCAAAGAGGGUGCUGGAGCCACUGAAGGGCUAAUGAGGAUUUUGCAAAAGCUCAAAGCAGAGUGACCCAAGCUGCCAGUAUCAAGGAGCCAGCGCAUGGAACGUGGGAGCUGCUUAAGACACAUAGUAGAAGAAAGAAAAGAACAAAGAAUUAACAUCUGUGGUGCCCACUCCCUGACCUCAAGCAACAGCAACAGACAGAAAGGAGCAUUGACGAGAGAUGACUUGAUGUCCAGAUUGAUUUGGAAGGAACUGCUACAUCUCUUUGCUUCAAAGAAAAUGCAGGUCUGAAUUCUUGGAUUGUAGUAAAGAUCCACUGGAGAAACUUGCCCAGCUGUCUUGGCAUUCUCAGGUCCACUGGAUUUGGCAAGCCAGAAUGAAGCAUACUGGCAGGGCAGUGAGGGACUGGGGGACCCUUGCACCCCUGCUGUCCAUUCAGUCCCAGUUCUGUGGAUGGGGAAUGUCACUCUGCAGGGAAGAAUUUCUGGAAGAAUGCACCAUGAAACCAAUGCUAUACCUGAGAUACAUGGGUGAUAUUUUCAUUCUCUGGACAGAUGGCCUAAACUCCCUCAUAGAUUUCCACCACAACUUCAACAACCACCACACAGCCAACAAACUCUCAUUAGAACACUCCCUACACCAGCAUCAACUUCCUGGACCCCAUGAUCAGCUUCAACAGUGGAACCCUACAGACAACUGUGGAAUCCUACAGAUGAUCCAACAGUUGAACCCUACAAGAAACGCACCGAUCGCUACAUGUACCUCCACAAAUCCAGUAAUCACCCCAGACACCAAGAAAUCUGUUGUCUCUAGCCAAGCACUCAGAUACCACAGAAUAUGCUCCAAGGAGAAAGUCUGGGAUACACACCUUAACAUACUUCAAACCGCCUUCACCAGAGAAGUAGAUCGCAUCAUGCUUUGGACCAUCCAAAUACCCUGAGAGAACCUGUUUCAAUACAGAACCCCCCCACAUCCAGCAACCCUAGUUGUCACCUACCACUCCACAUUGUAACCCAUACGGAGUAUCAUUAAACAGUGACAAUCCACCUUUGAUGGGGACCAUAUCCUGAAAGAAGUUUUUCCUGAACCCCCUCUUCUGUCCUUCAAGCAACCUCCCAUUAUCACUAAGUUCAUAAUCAAAAGCAAGCUCACCACAGACCAGGACCCCCACACCAUCUCAAAGAGGCACCAGACCCUGCGAGAACAACAGAUGCAAAACCUGCAGACAUAUCUCCACUGCUAUGAUACUCAAUACCCCCAACAAAACACCUUUCAUGAUCCAUGGAUCUUACGCAUGCCUAUCACUACAUGUGGUGUACCUCAUCCAGUGCAUCAAAUGCCCCAACACUAUGUGGGUGAAACCAAUCACUAUGCUCUCAAAUGAAGCCACACAGAAAAAUGAUAAAAGACAAAAAUAUCACCCAUGGGUGAAUACCUUUUUACAAAGCUAUUACUCCAUAUCUGACCUCUCAGUCCUACUCCUCAAAGGAAACCUGUACAACGCCUUCAAAAAACGAGAUGGGGAGCUUAAAUUCAUACCUCUGCUAGACACUAAAAAUUAUGCUUUCAACAUAGACACUGGUUUUAUGGCUCAUUAUAAGAAUUUGUAAUCUACUAAGCCUCCUCUGUCCUAUGACUGCAGAGGUGUUAGUUGCCUACUUCAUUUUAAGUGGUUUCUUGCAACAUGUGUUAACUCCUUAUGUUUAACAAUCUGUCCCACCUUGUAUUUAGCUGUG